rnacentral:rRNA from 1 species
UUAAAAAGCGUCAAAGCUUACUAUCCUUAAUUUCUUAAUACAAUAAAUUUAAAUGACCCCUUAAUUAGUAUUGAAUGACUUCAUAUGUAUAUGAAAACCACUAUGCCGAAACUAGUAACAAGAAUUUGACAUUCUCCAAAAUGCAAACAUAAACUAAAAAGGACCACCCAUUAGUAAUUAACGAAAAUGAAACUUAUACAUAAACAACCCAAGAAAAAUAUGCAUAAUACAAAUCGUUAACCUGACACAAGAGCAUUUAUGGAAAGAUUUAAAGAAAAAGAAGGAACUCGGCAAAUCCUAACCCCGCCUGUUUACCAAAAACAUCGCCUCUUGUCAAAAUAUAAGAGGUCCAGCCUGCCCAGUGAAAAUUAAACGGCCGCGGUAUACUGACCGUGCAAAGGUAGCAUAAUCACUCGUCCCUUAAAUAGGGACUUGUAUCAACGGCACCACGAGGGUUAUACUGUCUCCUUUCUCUAAUCAGUGAAACUGAUCUUCCCGUGAAAAAGCGGGGAUACAUCUAUAAGACGAGAAGACCCCAUGGAGCUUUAGACCAAAAGCAAGUUAAACUAAUACACCACUUCAACCCCUUACGUUAUGCACAUUGGUCUUAGGUUGGGGCAACCGCGGAGAAAAAAUUAACCUCCACAACGAAAAGACCCUAGUCUUUAUUUCCGAGCUACCGCUCUAAAAAUUAGUAAACUAACGAUUAAUGAUCCGACUUAUGCCGAUCAAUGAACCAAGUUACCCUGGGGAUAACAGCGCAAUCUACUUUGAGAGCUCCUAUUGAUAAGUGGGUUUACGACCUCGAUGUUGGAUCAGGGUAUCCUGGUGGUGCAACCGCUACUAAAGGUUCGUUUGUUCAACGAUUAAAACC